rnacentral:misc_RNA from 1 species
UGGGGUGGGGUCUUUCUUUCACCCAUCAAAGCAUUGAAAGAUAUAACUAAAGAAUCAUAAGAUCGUGGCGAUGCCCUCCAUACAAAAGAUGGUAGGGGUCCACAAGGAUGUAAUCUACAAGCCUGCUCCACCAGUCCCUCUUUCUUUUGCUUUGUUUUCAAUUCUACUAUUUUCUUCAAGCUGCCUCAUAUUUAGUGCUUUUUUCUUAUCUAGCUUCUCCCUUUUAUUGCCUAUAAAUUGCAGCUCCGCCUUCAACUUCAUUUCAUACACAUCAGAGACAAUUUUAAUUUAGAGUGACAUAGAGAGAAGAAAAUGGAGACCUUCCCUGUUAUUGACUUAUCAAAGCUUAGUGACGAAGAGAGAAAACCAACCAUGGAGAUGAUCCAUGAUGCCUGUGAAAACUGGGGCUUCUUUGAGGUAAUAUAACUACAUAUUAAUUGCAACUCAUGAUAACGAGAAUAUGUAAGUGAAAGUGUUCUUAUAAUGUCAAUUUUGAAGCUAAGAUAUCAUUUGAUUGUUGUUCUCUCAAUUUUUCUUGUAGUUGGUGAAUCAUGGAAUGUCUCCUGAGCUCAUGGACACUGUGGAGAUACUCACGAAGGAGCACUACAGGAAGUGUAUGGAGCAAAGAUUCAAGGAAAUGGUGGCCAGCAAGGGUCUGGAGUCCGUUAAGUCUGAAAUCAAUGAUUUGGACUGGGAAAGCACCUUCUUCUUGCGCCACCUUCCAGUCUCGAACAUGGCAGAAGUACCCGAUCUUGAUGAGGAAUACAGGUGAUGACAUUUAUAAUUAAGUUGUGAAAGUAAAUUGAAAAAUAAAAAAGGGGGAGGAGAAAUAUUUUUUUACUCAUUUAUAGUAGUUAAUGUUUUCAAAAAAUAACAGGAAGACCAUGAAGGAGUUUGCAGUGGAACUGGAGAAACUAGCUGAGCAACUUCUGGAGCUGUUGGGCGAGAAUCUUGGGUUGGAGAAGGGUUACCUGAAGAAGGCCUUCUAUGGGUCGAAAGGGCCAACCUUCGGCACAAAAGUCAGCAACUACCCUCCAUGUCCAAAACCAGACCUUAUCAAGGGACUGAGGGCCCACACAGAUGCAGGUGGCAUCAUAUUACUGUUUCAAGAUGAUAAGGUGAGUGGCCUCCAGCUCCUCAAGGAUGGGCAGUGGAUUGAUGUGCCACCCAUGAAACACUCCAUCGUCAUCAACUUAGGUGACCAACUUGAGGUAAUUACCAAUGGCAAGUACAAGAGCGUGAUGCACCGUGUGAUUGCUCAAACGGACGGUACACGAAUGUCCAUAGCCUCAUUCUACAACCCAGGUAAUGAUGCUGUUAUCUACCCAGCUCCAGCUUUGGUUGAGAAAGAGGAAGAGAAGACCCAAGUGUAUCCUAAAUUUGUGUUCGAGGACUACAUGAAGCUCUAUGCCGGCCUCAAGUUCCAAGCCAAGGAGCCUAGGUUUGAAGCCAUGAAGGCCAUGGGUCCUAUAGCAACUGCUUGAGAGAGAGGAUCAAAUCAACUCUAGUUUGUGUGUGCGUACAUGUUUCAAAAAUAAGACCAAUAGGCCCUACUGAUGAUGAGUUUACUGAUUAGUGGUGUGGAACUUAAUUAGUGUUAACUAUAGAACUAACUAUGCCGAAAUUAAGCUUGGUCGUCCUCAUUAAUGUGUGUAUGUACGUAGAGAUAUGAUGUUUGGUGUGGCUGUGGCUGUUUUUCACAAAUUAAUUACAAAGUGACCAAAAUUCUCCUUGGUUGUGUAAUUGUCCUCAAAUUCCAUCUACUGUUGAUCUGUUUUUGCUUUAUAAUAUUUUCUGUGGCAUCUGUUUUUCCUAAUGAUAAGAUUAGGUACCACAAAAAUCCAACUUGUUAUCAACCUCACUUGUACCAUCC